UUUUUGAUAAAUCCAAAUUUUGCUUGGCUCCCUUGCUUAACAAUAAAUUCCUAGAAAAAAAGAUUAUCAAUUCACCAAGCAAACCAUCAAAUAAGAUAACUUAUUUCAAAUAUAAAAAGAAUGGGCAUAAUAACUUUACCUAUAGUUCUAAUACACAUAAAUUAAAUGGUAAAGCUAUUAAUAUUAAACAAAUAUGGAUUCCAAAAGGAACAAUUAUAGCUAACCUGCAAGAACCCAAAAGAGCUUGGGUUCCUAAGUUGAAAAUCUAAUUAUUUUUUUUCAGCAGGUGUGUCUAGUUACCCAAGGUUCCAAUGAAAGAUGUUAUCCGGACAAUGGGUGCUCCAGACACGUGUUAAAGAAUGAAACUUAAAAUAUAAUUAAGAAGAGUGACUAAAAUGGAAGAAAUAAUGAAAUUAGUAAUUCUUGCAUCCUCUCAUACUGAAAUUGUUUUAUUAAUUGAUUAAAACAUAACUUGCAAGUAUUAAUCAUUUUUUUUGUGAUAUAAGUGAUAUUUUUGGUAUGAAAAGAAAUAUAUCCAAAUCACUCCAUCUCUCUAUAUUAUGCUUUACUUAUAGAUGGAUAAUUUGGUAAAUCAAUUCUCCCAGAAUAACUCUAUGAAUUUUCUAUAUGCUUGGUUGAGAGUUCUUAUCCAUGGCAUUAUCUUCUAUUGAUCAUAGACAUAAGAAUAUGUAUUUGAUAUGCU
rnacentral:lncRNA from 1 species